CCCCCUCCCCCCCCCCCUUCGGUACGAGGCGGUAAGGUAAGAGAGGAAAGGGUCAACCCGGGGACCGGUUUAUCGUGUGGGUUGAACCACCGGAUCAUCCAUCGCUAGGGGUCAUCGUCGUUGCGCUCGGCAAACACGGCCCCGGUGCAUCAUUAUCAGUGGUAGCAGCAGCAGCAGCAGCAGCAGCAUGCCCGUUUCUUUCCACGGUCAUUCUUUCCUCCAUCGCUUUUUAUUAUAUUUGGCACAGGCAGAGUGCGUCGGGGAACAAAAGGAAAAGCCAUCCACUGAAGAAGAGCCGAUUUUUGGGCCGCUGAGGCUGAAUCGCUGUACUUGAUGGCACUGUACUAAUGGAACCUGUGCAGGACGUGAAACCCUAAGAGCAAUCGGCCAUUGAGACAGCUUCUCGUUGCUGCAGUUCACCCGUUGGAUUGGAAGAUUCAAUUAGGCAGCUCCUGCACGUAAUGUAACGCGUUUAGGUCGACGCCACUGUCCUCGAAGAGCUGAGCGUGUCCCGUGGGAGCUGGCAUUUGAACACAGAAAACGUUUCCGAGGCGGCUGUGGCGGUGGCGGCGGCGGGAGUCUGCUAAUUGUUGGGGUUUGUUAAAAGCUUUUGAAUUGUGAGUGAGUGGAAAAUUUAAAACAAUCACGUUUAAACAGUCGAGGCUGAUGAAGGAAGACCCAGAAAACUAAAAAACGCCCAGACCGCCAGGAUUAAUGCAUGCAUCAGAUGGCCAUGCCGUUUCCCGUGACGUUUAUUUGUGUAGCUGAAUUUAAAAUUCAAAUCGCAAUGCAUAAAUUCAGGCGCACAAAAAAGCGGAUCGAUAAACAAAAGGCAAGGGAAAAUAUCGAUCGAUCGGUUUGCAGGCUGGUUUUUUUUAUUCAUUUCCAGUUCCAUUUCCAUUGGUGCAAAUGUGCAAACCCAAAAUUCGAAUGUUGAAACGAUUUGUCGUCGUAUCGGACAUCGGGCUCACCUGAUGCUAAUGGGGCCAGGCCGUACAAGCCUGUCCUAAGAGGGUUGAGACGCAUCUAACCAGGGACAUUAACUAAGGCGUAGGAAAUGGAAAUGUAUGUCCAAAGCUUUGGAACAUCAAACUCGCAAAAAAAGCAAAACUAGGCAAUCGUUUUGAGACACCAAACUGAAUACGCUUAUCAUGUUUUAAAAACGUAUUUCUGAAGCUGUUUUUUUGUCUCUCCAUACAUGUAUGCUACAUACGCGGCGAAUGAUCUCAUCUCAUUGGUAUGUAAUUAAAUUUUCGGAGCUAGCUCGACCAUCGGCUUUAAUUAUACGGUGCACCGGUCGGUGCAGGAGGCGUGAUUUAUUGCUGUCAUCCACCGGCCAAAGUCAGUGGCCAAUUUAUGCUUGCGCAAAACUGAGACCAACACGUAAUCACGUCCGUUAGGGAAUGAAAAAUUAGAAAAUCUGCCCAACCAAGAAUUGACUGGCCUGGACUGGUUGGUUAGUUGGUGGUGGAUUCGUUGAACCUUUUUUUUGUAUUUAAAGCUGAGAGGAGCGACUAGGGCGGUUGGGUGGUAGGAAGCAGUUGUAAUAAAAUUAUAAUUCCUACCAAACGCGAACGCAUUUUUGGUGCGCUCGCGCGUACGAUCGCGCGAUCACUGUUCUGCGUGCAAUGCGCGGCAGAGCAAAAUGCGCGCAAAAAGAGGCGAAAAAGCAGUUGGUGGGUAGGGAACCAAGGGGAGUGGAUGAGUAAGAAGGAAGGAGGAAGUAUCAUAUUCACACGCAAGCGGUGGUGGGAGGGGGGGGGGAGAACCAGGAGGCCACGUGGGCUAUGAUGAAACAUAAAAAUUUCACCGGCCUUAUUGUUAUUGCUCAUUAGGAAUUAAUUUAUGUGUCGCUUCUGGAUUUUUGGUCGAUCGUGUGAUCAACAUGAGCCGGGGAGAAGAUAAAAAGAGAAGAAAGAGAGGAAAGGGGGAAAGGGAAGAGAAAAUGAAGAGCAGUUCAAGAUACUUGGCCACGGUAGAAUGAGCUGCACGGUUUAAGACGUUUCUAAUCGUCUGAUAAUGUAAAUAGGCGCCAAAGGUAAAUGGUCGUGUUGAUCGAAUGUCCGUCUGAUAGGCCUUUGCUGGAUCGCUUUGCUGGAAGUGAUCGCUCGGAACAGUAGGCUGACAGUAAGCGCCAAAGGGUGCUAAUACACGCGUCACGUUUGGUUAACAAAACAGCACUUUGUAGUGGGAUAACCGAAGCAGCCGUCGGAAGUAGAAGGGAAGGAAACAAUCCCAGAGAAGAAACCAUUUCCUCGCAUACGCGUGUGAUGUUUUCAUUUUGCUCCUAUUAAUUAUUUAAUAAAUCGUCAAUUAAACCGCGAAACACUUUAAACCGGCCUAUAGGCUCCGUGAAACUUUACCGUCCCGAGGUGAUCACUCUUUCUGUCUCUCGCGUCCUCUUUGGUUGGAUAAGGAUGGUCUUAAAACGAAAACCAUUAGUUUUAUUGUCCCUUGUAGCUGCUUGGUUGUGUAUUUUUUUUUUGGCAAACACACACUGCUGCCGUUGUGAUCUUUAUUCAACAAGGGAUCGCUCGCGAAUUGAACUCGGUACGGUCCAGUGCGUCCAGUACCCCGGGGUCGUUGUUGCUGGUAGGUGCUGAACAAUAUCUGUACACCCUGCUCGAGAGGGUAAUUAUGAUAGCUUUUUCUGGUGAAUAAUCACCACACUCGAUGAAUAUGGUGCGCUCCAUGUACUGCUCCGUGCCCCGGGGGCUAAUAAUUCACCGUGAUUUAUGUGGAAUCUUUCGGGCGGGGUCUGGGUUGGGUUGUAAAACAAGUGCGCUGUUGCCUCCGAGUCCAUCAAACCGGGACAGCCAGCCUUGCUUACGAAAUGAUCUCUCUCUCUCUCUCUGUGGAUCAGUGUGUUGGAAGGAAAGUUUCGUGAAUGAGGAAUCCUUCCCAUUCGGCUCUGCGGAAGGAGGACACACGCCGUUUCUCCCCUGUGCUGCACAUUAACACUCCCUUUGCAUUAAGCGCACCUUGUUUGAGAGCGAUGUGCGGCUGUAGUUCGUGCGUGCUUCAUGUUACCAUAGAAACGCCACAUCGAAUGUGAUCUUGCACUGUAGCAUUUGCGGGGUGGAGGCGUUGGGGGCGCACCAUCACAGAUCGUUAAGAUAAUUAAUAUUAAUGCAACAGUUCCCGAGGAGGAGGAGGAGGAGGAGGAGGAGGCGGAGGAGGUACAUUUCUUUUCUGAAAUUUCUGUUGUUUUUUUUGUGUAUUAAAAUUCGAUCGAGGCUGCAUAAUAAAACAAUAAAAACAUAUUUUUCUGCUCUCCCGUUUGCACGAUCGGUCCCCACCGUGGGCAAGCUUCUUCCAAAUGCUUCCCAACAGCCUGCAACAAAAUUAGAAACGGUGCUCCUGAGUCCGGUACUUAUUCUAAUGUGUUAGCUUGUUACAUUUUAACGUAACCUCUUAGCUCGCCCCAGCUCGCCCGCCCAAGUGUUUGUGAACGGUUGCGUUAAUUAAUAGAAAUAGACACGUACACGUACCCGCACACACCGCAUGGCGGAAUCACUUGGGCUCUCGCCUGGUCGCUGGAUAUUCAUAAAUUCCAAAACUGAUGAUCGUAAAACUUAUUACAUCACUUUGCGCUGUCCGGGACCGGGGUUUCCUGUUCCCUUGCCCUCAUCCAUGACCCAUUACUGUCUGUGUGUGUGAGACAGAGAGAGAGAGAGAGAGAGAGAGAGAGAGAGAUUAAAAGGGAACAACGGUUGCCGGUGGCGCUCGUCCACUGACUGACAAGUGGUAAUUCAUUGCUCAACACCUCAUCCCCAUCGCGGGAAAAGCCAUCACGAAAUGGAAAUCGGAUGCAAGACAGCGGUGCUGCGCUCUCUGCCUUUCGAUGCUUAUCGCUUUGUGUGUUGACCAUUUUGCCUACUUUUUUUUGUCUUCCUGCUGCUGGAAAGAAAAGUGUCACAGGGAAGGAAGCAGAAGAGACCACAAAAAAGCCCAUCGAAAGAUGCUUAUUCACGAAGGUUUGACUUAUUACCCUCCCAGCUUUCCUGUUUGGUUAAUUGCUGUUCGGAUCUCUCUCUCUCUCUCCCACUGCUCCGUUCCUUCCACUAUCCAAAAGGGCUGCGUUAUCAUAAAAAAGACAUAAAAUUUGCUUUCAACAGGUGCAUUAGUCAUGGGUGUUUGCAGGUUGAUCAUAAAUAUUGGCCCCCGGGGCGAGAUGAUCUCGCGCACGAUCGUCUUCGCAGGCACCGGCAGCCGCACCGUGGUGCGGACAGGUUUGACACAAUUAAAAUGAUUUAAACCAUGUUUUUUUGUUUCGUUCCUUUGGUUACGGAGCUGCUUCCUUUCCAUUUUUUGUUAAAUAGACGCGAUAAUUGACUCGAAGAUGGUAAGGAGCUGCUGUAGUCAGCGGGCAGAGACGGAGGAAAUUUUAAUUACAUUAGAAAAACACAUUUCCACGCUGUCGAUCGCUGAGAACGGAA